rnacentral:rRNA from 1 species
AGCGAACUUGGCAGAGAUGCCUUGGUGCCUUCGGGAACGCUGAGACAGGUGCUGCAUGGCUGUCGUCAGCUCGUGUUGUGAAAUGUUGGGUUAAGUCCCGCAACGAGCGCAACCCUUAUCCUUUGUUGCCAGCGAUUCGGUCGGGAACUCAAAGGAGACUGCCGGUGAUAAACCGGAGGAAGGUGGGGAUGACGUCAAGUCAUCAUGGCCCUUACGAGUAGGGCUACACACGUGCUACAAUGGCGCAUACAAAGAGAAGCGACCUCGCGAGAGCAAGCGGACCUCAUAAAGUGCGUCGUAGUCCGGAUCGGAGUCUGCAACUCGACUCCGUGAAGUCGGAAUCGCUAGUAAUCGUGGAUCAGAAUGCCACGGUGAAUACGUUCCCGGGCCUUGUACACACCGCCCGUCACACCAUGGGAGUGGGUUGCAAAAGAAGUAGGUAGCUUAACCUCCGGGAGGGCGCUUACCACUUUGUGAUUCAUGACUGGGGUGAAGUCGUAACAAGGUAGGCGUAGCGAG